rnacentral:lncRNA from 1 species
CACACCCCUCAACUUUAUACCCUAAGGUUGGGGAAAUUACAUGUUUACCACUUUCAUGCUAUCACUUUUCAUUUUUACCACCAAUAAAUGAACAUUUUCAAAAAUACCUUCUUCAUUAAGUGGCAAAAGACUCUUAUGCUCACGUUCUUUAUAUAUAUAAUAAAUAAAUAUUUAAAUAAAUAAAAAUCAAAAAGAAUAAAAAAUAUUUUUUUUUAAUUUUUUUCUGAAUUAUACUAUUUCGAAAUUCAAACCCCAAACGCUAAAACUCAACUCUAAACCGUAAACCAUCAAUCCUAAACCCUAUUUUUUUGGAAAUACGAACCCUAAACCCUAAACCAUCAAUCCUAAACCCUAUUUUUUUUUUGAAAUAAACCCUAAACCCUGAAACAUCAACUCUAAACCCUAAACCCCGAAACAUCAACUCUAAACCCUAAACCCAAAACCUUUAACUAUAAACCCUUAAACAACAACUCUAAACCCUAAACCCUAAACCAUCAACACUAAACCCUAAACCAUCAACAC